GAUGAAGAACGCAGCGAAAUGCGAUAAGUAAUGUGAAUUGCAGAAUUCAGUGAAUCAUCGAAUCUUUGAACGCACCUUGCACUCCUUGGUAUUCCGAGGAGUACGCCUGUUCGAGUGUUAUGAAGCUCUCAAAACGCAAUUGGCUUAAAACCUGAUUGUUGUUUUGGAUUUGAACUUUGCCGUGUUAUAACGGCUGGUUUUAAAAGUAUUAGCUAGUACUAGAACGAAUUGGUUCUACUCAACGUGAUAAUUAUCUGAUCGUUGAGGACAUUCCUUUCACGAGGAAUGGCCAUAGUAAAUUCAAUGGACUGCUUCUAAUCUGGCUUUAAUUCUUUAUUGGAUUAACCACUUUUCAAAUCUGACCUCGAAUCAGGUGGGACUACCCGCUGAACUUAAGCAUAUCAAUAAGCGGAGGA
rnacentral:misc_RNA from 1 species